CGUGUAGGCGGUCGGGCAAGUCAGAUGUGAAAGCCUUCCGCUUAACGGAAGAAGUGCAUUUGAAACUACCCGGCUGGAGUACGGGAGAGGAGAGUGGAAUUCCCGGUGUAGAGGUGAAAUUCGUAGAUAUCGGGAGGAACACCAGUGGCGAAGGCGGCUCUCUGGUCCGAUACUGACGCUGAGACGCGAAAGCGUGGGGAGCAAACAGGAUUAGAUACCCUGGUAGUCCACGCCGUAAACGAUGGGCACUAGGUGUAGGAGGUAUUGACCCCUUCUGUGCCGAAGUUAACGCAUUAAGUGCCCCGCCUGGGGAGUACGGCCGCAAGGCUAAA
rnacentral:rRNA from 1 species